GUUAAGUCAGAUGUGAAAGACCCGGGGCGUUAACCUCGGAAAUUGCAUUUGAAACUAGGCAGGCUAGAGUCUUGUAGAGGGGGGUAGGAAGUUUACAGGUGUAGCGGUGAAAUAGCGUAGAGAUCUGAAGGAAUACCAGUGGCGAAGGCGGCCCCCUCGGACAAAGACUGACGCUCAGAUGCGAAAGCGUGGGGAGCAAACAGGAUUAGAUACCCUGGUAG
rnacentral:rRNA from 1 species